GAGUUUGAUCCUGGCUCAGAACGAACGCUGGCGGCAUGCCUAACACAGCAAGUCGAACGAGACCUUCGGGUCUAGUGGCGCACGGGUGCGUAACGCGUGGGAACCUGCCUUGAGGUUCGGAAUAACUCAGAGAAAUUUGAGCUAAUACCGGAUAAUGUCUUCGGACCAAAGAUUUAUCGCCUUUAGAUGGGCCCGCGUUGGAUUAGCUAGUUGGUGGGGUAAAGGCCUACCAAGGCGACGAUCCAUAGCUGGUCUGAGAGGAUGAUCAGCCACACUGGGACUGAGACACGGCCCAGACUCCUACGGGAGGCAGCAGUGGGGAAUAUUGGACAAUGGGCGAAAGCCUGAUCCAGCAAUGCCGCGUGAGUGAUGAAGGCCUUAGGGUUGUAAAGCUCUUUUACCCGAGAUGAUAAUGACAGUAUCGGGAGAAUAAGCUCCGGCUAACUCCGUGCCAGCAGCCGCGGUAAUAC
rnacentral:rRNA from 1 species